UUUAUAUUUUAUCUUUUCCACCAGCGUAGUUUGUUUGCGAAUUGGGAUAUUAGGUUUGCAUCCUUAAGAUUUGCCUCAUCUUUAUAAGCUAGUUUCCAGUAGAUUUAGGAGGUUUUUUGGUUCUACUUCAAGUGAAUAUCUGUAUUAGAAGCUGUUUACACUGUGAUUUUGGAAAUGGAGUUUGAAAUAAGAUCUAUUGUGAAGAGGACGCAAAGAGGGAUAAAUACUGAGGACUAACUAAGCAAAGGAAUAGAUGCAUCUUAAUUUAAUUGUCUUCUUGAAGUGCGUGCCACGAGGCUCUUAUUUGAGUUGUAGUUGCGAAUUGAGCUGAAUCCAUGUGAAUUUUUCAUUAUGCUAUCGCUGUGGGCUUACAUUGUGAAGUAUGUCAGUUUCGAAUUCUUCAUGUUUUGCACCAUGCUUUUGUGCUAUGUGAUACUUUAUGAUUAGUAGAGAUUCAUUUUCUCUUGUAACUAAUUCAUGCAUCUAUUCUAGACCUGGCACUUCAUCUGGGAUACUUCUUGGUGCGGUUACACUGCCCACUGUCAUGCUUUCACGGUUGAUUCAACUCUCAAGAGCACUAGCAAGGCACGAUAGUGGAAUUGAAUUCAUAGGCUUUACCCUUAUGAUUCAUAGUGUGCAGUUCAUGUAAAGCUGCUAUUUAAGAUCACUUAGUCUACAUUUUUUAGUACGAUUGUUUUCCUAAUUUGCAUUAUAGGAUAUUGGGUUUUAGCUUGCAGCCACUUUUCUUUAAAUAGAGUUCCAAUAAUUGUUUUAACUAUACUGUAUAAAGUAUACACUUGUGAGUUCUUUAGAAAUGUAUAUUUAUAUAUUUUCGGGUGCUUAUAAGUUAAAAUUUACUUGUAACAACUAGUUGUUCCUUCUUUUAAAAGAAAAUUGAAAUAUGUUUGGUGUGUGAAUAUGGUCAGUCAUAUAUUUUUAUAUUUGAACUCUUCUUAUUGUUUACUUUCCUGUUUGCACUUUCGUAGAAAUAAAUUAAUGUUGUCAUUAUUUGUAUAAUCACUGUAAAUUAAUGCCUCUCUCCUAAUUUACUUCAAGUUUCAUCUUCACUACCCUGUUUCUAUGUCUUAUUGUUAUAGUCUCAUCUCUAUGGAUAGAACUUUCGUAUUUGGGUAUGCAAUAUUGGAAUGUGUCUGCUAGCUGCUUCGCCGUGCUAAUUUUCCUCAGUUUUCUUCUACAACAUUCUCCCACCUGUGAUCCAUGAAUUUCAUUUUAGUUACCUUUCUGUUCCUUUGCAGUUUGUAAUUUCACAUAUUUUGGUCAAAGAGAUGCAGCAAUUAUGCUGUAAGUUAGCUGUGUUCUAAAUGGUCUCAUCCAUGCAGGGAGGAGCUAUAAGGUACUGAUAUAAUGGACUUGUAAGUUACACUAUUUAUAGACAUGUGAAGUUCUCUCUAAUUAAUGACUGAUUCCAGUGUUUUGUUUCACUCUUUAGUUGAAAGAACUUUUUCUUCUGCACAGGUAAAUGUAUGUUUCCUAUAGUUAUAGCUUAUUUUAUCUUACAGCCUGCAAGAUCUUCCUGUCAGGGUAGGAUUAAAUAUGUCUUAGCAUGAGAUAUACGGCAUAUUAGAAUUAUUUGGAACUUUAUCUUUAUAAACAAUUUCUCAUGGCCUACAACUCAGAACUGGGUCAAAUUGUUUGUGACCUUUUUCCUCAAAAGCACUAGGGUCUCCUAGCCUUGUUUUAAGAAAAUGUAAUGCAUAAUGUAUAUCUUCAGCAUAAUAUGUCACACUUGAUAUGCAAAUUGAUCACCUUAUUGCAGAAUUAGGAGCGUAAUGUUACAGUACUUAUUUUCUUUAUCUUUCUUUCUUUAUGAGCCAAAGUUUAGUUUCUAUUCGUGCGUUUAUCAGCAUUUCUAGUUCAUUUACUGCACUGUUUCAUUAGAUACUUGAGAAUAGAAGUUUGAGACUGGUAGAUCUACAUGUGUAGGCAGGUGCGUUUAACCCUCUUUUCAAGGAGUUAACAUGAAGACACUAUGGUCUAUCAGCUGAUUUUACUAGAUAAUCCAAUAAAAAUCUGUCUUGGUUUUCUUCGCUUAAUACUUACGAUCCACAUAUCUUACUUGGAGUUAAUCUAAGUUCAUCUUGUGCAAGCGAUUUACUUACUCAUUUUUUAUUUUAGAGAUGUUACUGUGACUUCAGCUAACUUGCGAUCUUCUAGAGUAUCAAUUAUUAAAUUUGUUAACCCACUUUUGAACUCUGUUUCAUCAUGAUGCUGUUUCCUGGUACAAUCUUCAAUUUCUGUCACUUGCAUAUUUGAUAUUUCUUUUGUGAGAAGCUCGUCUUCAAAUGUACUUUACUGUGCCAUUUUCUCUACAUGUUGGCAGAAUGAUAGAGCAGUUAAAUACUGUCACCAAUCAACCAACACCCUCAAUGGUUCCAAAUCGCAAUUGCUACUACUAUUAUUGGAAAUCUAUGUGAAUUGUAUGUAUAAUUUCUAUCUUAACAUAAUGCACAGCCAUGCAUGACAAGGGCAAUACACUUUUGGGGAUCAUUACAUUCUUUGGCUGUUAGAAUAAGAAGAAAGUAAGUAGCUAAGAAGAAAGCAACCACAAAUAAACCUAAUAUUUCCAGCUGAUUAGUGCUAUUUAAUCUAGAUGUGUAUUUAAACUUCUUCUUCCUUUUAUAUUUGCAGCUGAGAACUUGCAAAAAGUUGAUCAUCCACUCUCAAGUCAUUCCAUCAAAUACAAAAUUGUUGUCUAAUAUUGCACUUUUUUUUUUUUUUUGAAAGGUCAGGGGAGGGCUCCUCCAACACUAUAUUGGUCAAGUACUACAUUAAUGGCUAUACUUUUCUUCUCUCUUUUAGGCCAGCCCUGAUAGUUGCACGGUGGCUGGACGAAGUUCCAAAACCUACAACCAAGAUGGCAAGUAUUUAUCGUUUUUCCAGUUUAAAUGCAUUAUGGGACAGCUAAAUGAGAAAUUAUGCUUCUCUAAAGACUGCUUUCUGUUUACUUGUUAUUUGCAAUUUUUUUUCAAACUUUUGAUUGUUGUUGUGAGCAGAUUUUCAUAAUUGGGUAUUAUUACUAAGGAGAUAAUUUUUGCAAGCAGAUUUCUUAAGCCUCAGGUUCCCAGAACAUUGGUGGUUCGGUGCUCCCUAUUGGCCACACAACAAAGUACCUAGUCUGACAAUUUCUUUCUCAUCUAUUUAAGCUUACCUAAUCAUAUACUGCGAGAGGAGAAUACGUGAUUCUGAUCCAUGUUUAACAAUGAGGUACUUUUGACUCAGAUGUUCAUCUAAGAGACGUUAAUCUAUCAGCCAAGUUUUAAUUAUAAUAUAUAAACUUUUUACUUUUUUCCCCUGUAACAGGCAUAAUUCAAAACAAAUCUUCUUGACCAGUUUGAAAUGAAGUUUGAGCCUGUUUUUACUAAUUUAUGAACUUGUGCACCGCAAGUCUUCUUUUGUUUUCUAUUUUUUGUUUUUUUCGGAAAAGGUUUGGUUAACUGUUUCAUCUGAAAGGGGCAUAAUCCAAAACAUCUUCUUGUUCAGUCAAAAUGGGAUUCAAACCUGCUUUUGCAAGAAUUCAAAGAAAGAACUUUUGCAUUUAAGGAGAAAGUUGAACUCGUUCAUGCAAAGAUAUUAUCUCUGUUAGGAUUCCUCAACUGUAUAUUUUUUUUUCCUGAAACUGUAUUAUAUCACUAAUCUGUACUAUAUUACUAGCUUAAAAAAAAAUAGAGCUUCAUAUUGCAUUUAUUAUCUAUUUAAUUAAUUGGUCAUUUGUUGGGACAGGAUGGACUCGGCUAGUCCUCUAACAUUCUUCCAUCCCGAUUUUUCUCUCUAAAGGAAUCAGAGGAAACUAAAUCCAUUUUAAAAUUCAUAAGGCAUGUUAAUGGUUCACUGGCUGAUCUCAUUCAUUAUCUUUCACCCAGCAUUUGUCGAACUAGACUCGAAGGUUGAUUUUUAUUUUAUUUUCUAUCCUUUGGAGACCACAAGAAUUUAUAUUUUAUCAUUUCUACCUUUUUAUGUAUUCCAUGAAUUUCAUUUUAAUUAUCUUUCUUCUCCUUUGCAGUUGUAGUUUCACAUAUUCUGGCCAAAGAGAUGCAGCAAUUAAGCUGGAAGUUAGCUGUGUUCUAAAUGGUCUCAACCAUGCAGGAAGGAGUUAUAGGGUACCGAUAUAAUGGACUUGUAAGUUACACUAUUUAUCAACAUGUGAAGUUCUCUCUAAUUAAUGCUCUCUAAUUAAUGACUAAUUCCAGUGUUUUGUUUCAUUCUUGUGAAUAGUUGAAAGAACUUUUUCUUCCGAACAGGUAAAUGUAUGUUUCCUAUAUUUAUAGCUCCUUUAUUUUCAGCCUACAAGAUCUUACUGUCAGGGUAGGAUAAAAUAUGUCUUGGCAUAUACAGCGUAUUAGAAAUACUUGGACCUCUAUCUUUAUAAACAAUUUCUCAUGGCCUACGGAAAUGUGUCAAAUUGUUUGUGACCUUUUUCCUCAAAAGCACUAGAGUCUUCUACCCUCGUUUUAAGAAAAUGUAAUGCAUAAUGCAUAUAUUCAAUAUAAUAUGUUACACCUGAUAUGCAAACUGAUCACCUCAUUGCAGGAUUAAGGAGCAUAAUGUUAAAAUACUUGCUUUCAUUUUCUAUCUUUCUUCAUGAGCCGAAAGUUUAGUUUUCUUUUUGUGUGUUUAACAACAUAUCUAAUCAUUUACUGCACUGUUUCAUUAGAAACUUGAGAAUAGAAGUUUGAGAUUGGUAGGUAGAUCUGCAUGUGUAAGCAGGUGUGUAUAUUUAAUGGGCUUUUAACCCUCUUUGCAAGGAGUUAACAAGAAGACACUAUGGUCUAUCAGCUGAUUUUACUAGAUAGUCUAAUAACAACCCGUCUUGGUUUUCUAUGCUUAAUACUUAUCAUCCAUAUAUCUUAUUUGGAGUUAAUGUAAAUUCAUCUUGUGCAAGCGAUUUACUUACUCAGUUUUUAUUUUAGAGAUGUUAACGCGACUUCUGCUAACUUACGAUCUACUAGAGUAUCGAUUACUAAAUGUUAACCUACUUUUGAACUCUGUUUCAUCAUGAUGCAGUUUCCUGGUACAAUCUCCAAUUUCUGUCACUUGCACAUUUGAUGUUUCUUUUGUGAGAAGCUCGUCUUAAAAUAUACUUUACUGUGCCAUUUUCUGAACAUGUUGGCAGAAUAAUAGGGCAGUUAAAUGCUGUCACCAAUCGAGCAAUACCCUCAAUGGUUCAAAAUCACAAUUGCUACUGCUAUUAUUGGAAAUCUAUAUCGUAAAAUUUCUUUCUUAACAUAAUGGCAUAGCCAUGCACGGCAAGGACAAUACGCUUUUGGGGAUCAUUACAUUCUUUGACUGUUAGAAUAACAAGAAGAUAAUUUGUUAGGGAGAAAGUAACCACAAAUAAACCCUAUAUUUGCAGUUGAUUAGUGCUAUUUGAUCCAUAUUUGUAUUUAAACUUCUUCUUCCUUUUAUAUUUGCAGCUGAGAACUUGCGAAAAGUUGAUCAGGGUGUCUCAAGCCAGUGUGUAAGAUUUGAUCACAUACAAAAUUCCUGUCGCAAGUGCUAGUCAUUUUUCCUUUUUUGAAAGUUUAGGGAGGGUUCCUCCAACAAUAUAUUGGUUGAGUAUUACACUAAUGGAUAUACUUUUCUUCUCUCUUUUGGGCAAGCCCUGAUAGUUGCAUGGUGGCUUGAUAAAGCGCCAAAACCUACAACCAAGUCGCAAGUGCUAGUCAUUUUUCCAGUUUAAAAGGCAUUAUGGGACAAUUAAAUGAGAUAUAAUGCGUCGUCUAAAGACUGCUUUCUGUUUAAUUGUUAUUUGCGAUUUCUUUCACUCUUGCUUGUUGUUGCGAUCAGAUUUUCAUAACUAGGUCUUAUUACUAAGGAGAUUAUUUUCGCAAGCAGAUUUCUCAAGUCUCAGGUUCCCAGAACGUUGGUGGUUUGGUGUUCAUUUUCUGUUGGCCACAACAAGGUACCGGAGUGCACCAAUCAUUUAGUCGUUUAUUUAAGCUUAUCUAACCAUAUACCAAGAGAGGAUAAUAUGUGAUUCUGAUCCAUGUGUGAGGUACUUUUGACUCAGAUGUUCAUCUAAGAGAUGUUAAUCAGCCGGCUAAUAUAUAAACUUUUUACUUUUUUUCCCUCAAAACAUAAUUAAAAAUAAAUCUCCUUGUCCAGUUUAGAUGAAGUUUGAGCCUGUUUUUACUAAUUUAUGAACCUUGCGCACUGCAAGUCUUUAAAUUUUUUUUUUUUUGAAAGGUUUGAUUAACUGUUUUAUCUGAAAACGGCAUAAUCCAAAACAAAUCUUCUUUCCAGCUGAAAUGGAAUUCAAACCUGCUUUUGCAAGCAUACAAAGAAAGAACUUUUGCAUUUAAGGAGAAAGUUGAACUUGUUCAUCUAAAUUUUUUUUCUCUCGUAUGAUUCCUUAACUGUAUUUUUUUUUUUGUUUUUUUAAGCUAGUAAUAUAAUAAUAUAGAGCUUUAUAUGUUGCACUUGUUAUCUAUUUAAUUAAUUGGUCAUUUAUUGGAACAGGAUGACUCGGCCGAUAGCGCUAGAACAUAACGGAAGGCUUUUAGAUUUUGUUGUAGAGCUAGUUCUCAAACUCAUAAAGUAACUUAGGGGUAUGAAACUGCUAAACAGAGUAACCGGAUCUAAGGUCUAGGUCCGGUUUAGAUUUUCUUUAUCAUUUUGAGAAAAAAAAAACUUGUUUGGUUUGGGUCAAUAUGGUAGGAACCGCAUAUUUUUGAUUCAGCUUUUGGUUCUGAUAAUGAGAAUCGGCUUAAACCAGACCAACCGGUUAGUGCUUCAUAUAUUUUAAACCGAACCGUUUGUUCUACUUAAUUAGCCCAUUACACGUAACACUGGAAAGCUAACCUGCGCAUUAUUAAGUGAUGAAGCGCAGGAUAGCAUGAAGGCGACGGACGAGGGCUAUAUAAUGGUUUCGCGGCUCCUCCACGCGCUAUUCCAAUCCAAAUCGGGAACAAUAGCUCUUCGUCUUCUCUCCCCCCUCCUUGCUCCCACCUUGUCGACGACUCUGAAACCUACGAAGCCGAAGUGCUAACGAAACCCUAAGGUACUAACUCGAUUUCUCUUGACCUUCGAAGGAUCCUAUCUCUUUUCCAUCCUAAAAAUUUGAUCUCUCUUUUUCUCCCUCCAUCGUGAUGAAGGAUCGGAUCCCUCUUCCACUCCCUCGAUCGAAUCCUCAAUUUGAGCCGACAUUUCGAUCUCGAACUCUGUUGUCGAUUUGAGAUCGAAGGAUCCCUGAUCAAUUAAAGUCUAAGUACGUUUUGAUCUAAAGAAAACGAGAUGAUUCUUUGAGGUGAACUAUAUCGUUCAAUGCUUGAUCUUGAUUCUGCUGCGUUUGAUUUUGUUGCUGCUUUUAUUCAUGAUUCAUGAACUUGCUGUUCAAAGGAAAAGAUUGAGGAAUUUGCGGAGUUUUUGCACCCGGAGAAGAAGGAAUCUGAUUUGUUUUUUAAAGUUUCUGAAAUAACUUUCUAUAUUGCGCCUAAGUACGUUUUGAUCUAAAGAAAGCGAGAUGAUUCUUUGAGGUGAACUAUAUCGUUCAAUGCUUGAUCUUGAUUCUGCUGUGUUUGAUUUUGUUGCUGCUUUUAUUCAUGAUUCAUGAACUUUACUUGUUUUUAAAAAAUUUAAAAUAAUUAAUUGUUAUACAAUUAUUCAAUUUAAAAAAUUACGUUCAAUUUUUUUUUAAAAAAAAAUAGACAUGCUAUAAAUUUUUCCAACUAAUUUUUUAACAUUAAUUUCAGGCCCGGUUCGAACUCGAAUCGAGUUCUAACGGUCUAAUCCAAUUCCUAGUCCGAGUCGAGUUCUAACGGUCUUAUCCAAUUCCUCGUCCGAGUAGGAGACCACUAUGUAACCGUUACACUGAAACAGAAUCCUAAUCCGACUCGGAUUACCCAACGGCGCGAAAAAAACUAGCCGUUGCGCCUUCGCCCUUCUCCCUAUAAAUAAGAGCCCUCACUCCAAAUCGCGCACACUCCGCUGCCCAUUUACCUCGAGGACGAAGAGGGAAAGGGUUCCCUCAUGGGUUCUUCGUCUCCUUCUCCCCGAUAAGGUUUGCUUCUUCUUCUCCUCCUCCUUCUUUCUCCCUUUUGAUUUUUCUAGGUUUCUUUGUUUUCGUAUUGUUGGUUUCUUUUGCGAUCUAAUUCGUUUUAGGGCGCAUAGGUUUUUUAUUUUGAUCUGUUUUCCCUUUUCUUCGUGGAUUUUGGAUUAGAGUAUGGGAUUUUAUGCUGGUUUCUUAUUUCUAUGAGCAUGAAAGAUUGGAUUCUGUCACAAAUUCGGUUUCAUGAAACAAAUUAGAACCGGCUUCAAUUUUUAAAUUAGUUUUCCAUUAUUUUAUGUAUAUCUUGGGCCAAAUCUAGGGUUAAAUUUGAAGCAAAUUUGUCUAUUUUUCAGGCGCAGGAUUUAUGUGUUGGUUAUCUAUACUGAAUAUUCCUUUUUGAAAGGAUACUGUAUAUCCCUUUAAAACUAGUUUUCCAUCAUUUAUGUGAAUCUUGUUAAAUUUGGUAGCCUAGUUUUAAUUCUUCGAAUACAAUACUUAGAAUCACUUAGGAAAGUUGGUUUCUCAAUGUUAAAUUGUGAACACCAUCAUCCGAGAUAUGUGCAUCAGGUGUUUGUUCCUUGAUAUGUUUGAUGACUUCUCUCAUCAUGUUGUGAUAUGAAAUAUUAUUUUUCAUCUAAGUAACAAUAAUCUAAUAACAAUGUUCUCCAAUUUUGGAAAUAAUUCUUUUUUUUUCCUCUUAUUUUCGUGUCGUUAUUCUGCAUUCUUGUGUGAGUAAAGGAUCUUUUGGAUCUGAUUGCGAGGUGAUGGGUUCAUCCAAGAUCAAUCGCCCAGUGAUUUCGAAAGAGGUAUUCCAGAGGCUUCUUGCGAAUACCCUUCUCUGAAGAAUGGAUCUUUAAUGGGAUCCGGCUCCAAAAGUGCUUGUUCCUUCAAUCAAACAAAUCGGUGAGGCAGAUGAGGUACAGGGGACUCUUGUUAGUUGUUUAGUCAAAAAAUAUGUUUAGAUUGAUGUGACGAAUUUGAUCAAUAUUUGAACUUCUUGUGAUAUAUUUGUUUUAAAUCCCUUCUCUUCCUUAGUAUACAGCUGAGAUUUUUGAGAAGACUUGAUCAGUAUCAAUUAAGCAUGGUACAUUCAAUAGGAAAUUCUUGUUGGCUUCAUGUAGAACUACUGGAUUAUUGCACUGAUGGGUCUUUUUCUUGUGAAUUAUUAUUACAGAGCUCUACGACCAAGAAAACAAGUGCCGAAACAUGUGACCAAGAAAGCAAGUGCCAAAGUGUACGACCAAGAAAGCAAAUGCCAGUCUUUUUCUUCAUUUUAACUGCAAUAUAUGAUAAGUAAUCCAUCACUUUUCUUCUAUAUUUUCUACAUUCUCUGGUGUUAUUAGUUUCCUUAAUUCAUCUUUCUCUUUCAGCUUUAUACUUGAAUUCUCAGGAGGUUCCACGACUCUGGUGUAAAGGUCAGCUACAUUUGCAAUGAUUUAUACUGGGCAAAGUGGAUAGCAAAAGUGGAAAAGUAAGAGUAACAUUUCAUUCUUAAUUAUCAUAAUAUUUAACUCGUUGCUGGUUCUCUAACAUUCUUCCAUCUCGAUUUUUCUUUUUCUAAGGAAUCACAGGAAACUAAUGUCAUUUUAAAAUUCAUAAGGCGUUAAAGGUUCACUUAAUGAUCUCAUUAUCUUUCAACUAGCAUUUGUCGAACUGGACUUGAAGGUUGAUUUUUAUUGUAUUUUCUAUCCUUUGGAGACUACAAGAAUUUAUAUUUUAUCUUUUCCACCUUUUAUGUGAUCCAUGAAUUUCAUUUUAAUUACCUUUAUGCUCCUUUGCAGUUUGUAGUUUCAUGUAUUUUGGUCAAAGAGAUGCAGCAAUUAUGCCGUAAGUUAGCUGUGUUCUAAAUGGUCCCAACCAUGCAGGGAGGAGCUAUAAGGUACUGAUAUAAUGGACUGGUAAGUUACACUACUUAUCGACAUCUGAAGUUCUCUCUAAUUAAUGACUAAUUCCAAUGUUUUGUUUCACUCUUUAGUUGAAAGAAUUUUGUCUUCUGAACAGGUAUGUAUGUUUCCUAUUAGUUAUAGCUCCUUUUAUCUUACAGCCUGCAAGAUCUUCCUGUCAGGGUAGGAUUAAAUAUGUCUUCGCGUGAGAUAUACGGCACAUUAGAAUUACUUGAAACUUCAUCUUUAUAAACAAUUUCUCAUGGCCUACAACUCAAGUCUCAGGUUCCCAAAACGUUGGUGGUUCGGUGCUCUUUCUCAUCUAUUUAAGCUUAUCUAAUAAUAUACCGCGAGAGGAGAAUACGUGAUUUUGAUCCAUGUUUAACAAUGAGGUACUUUUAACUCAGAUGUUCAUCUAAGAGACGUUAAUCUAUCGGCCAAGUUUUAAUUCUAAUGUAUAAACUUUUACUGUUUUUCCCUUGUAACAGGCAUAAUUCAAAACAAAUCUUCUUGACCAGUUUGAAAUGAAGUUUGAGACUGUUUUCAUUAAUUUAUGAACUUGUGCAUCGCAAGUCCCUUUUUUUUUUUUUUGGAAAGAUUUGAUUAACUGUUUCAUCUGGGCAUAAUCCAAAAAAAAUCUUCUUGUCCAGUAGAAAUGGGAUUCGAACCUGCUUUUGCAAGAAUUCAAAGAAAGAACUUUUGCAUUUAAGGAGAAAUUUGAACUCGUUCAUGCAAUAUAUAAUCUCUGGUAUGAUUCCUCAACUGUAUAUAUUUUCUUUCCGAAACUGUAUUAUAUCACUAAUCUGUACUAUAUUACUAGCUUAAAAAAAAUAGAGCUUCAUAUGUUGCAUUUAUUAUCUAUUUAAUUAAUUGGUCAUUUGUUGGGACAGGUUGGACUCGGCUAGUCCUCUAACAUUCUUCCAUCCCGAUUUUUCUCACUAAAGGAAUCACAGGAAACUAAAUCCGUUUAAAAUUCAUAAGGCGUGUUAAUGGUUCACUGGCUGAUCUCAUUAUCUUUCACCUAGCAUUUGUCGAACUAGGCUCGAAGGUUGUUUUUUAUUUUAUUUUCUAUCCUUUGGAGACCACAAGAAUUUAUAUUUUAUAUUUUCUACCUUUUUAUGUAUUCCAUGAAUUUCAUUUUAAUUACCUUUCUUCUCCUUUGCAGUUGUAGUUUCACAUAUUUUGGCCAAAGAUAUAGCAAUUAAGCUGUAAGUUAGCUGUGUUCUAAAUGGUCUCAACCAUGCAGGAAGGAGUUAUAGGGUACCGAUAUAAUGGACUUGUAAGUUACACUAUUUAUCAACAUGUGAAGUUCUCUCUAAUUAAUGUUCUCUCUAAUUAAUGACUAAUUCCAGUGUUUUGUUUCAUUCUUGUGAAUAGUUGAAAGGACUUUUUCUUCUGAACAGGUAAAUGUAUGUUUCCUAUAUUUAUAGCUCCUUUAUUUACAGCCUACAAGAUCUUAUUGUCAGGGUAGGAUAAAAUAUGUCUUGGCAUAUACAGCGUAUUAGAAAUACUUGGACCUCUAUCUUUAUAAACAAUUUCUCAUGGCCUACAACUCAGAAAUUUGAUUAGGCGAUGCCUAGAAUUCAGGUUAUUCCGCUUCUCCUAAUUCUUCUGGUCAAAUUGUUUGUGACCUUUUUCCUCAAAAGCACUAGGAUCUCCUACCCUCGUUUUAAGAAAAUGCAAUGCAUAAUGUAUAUAUUCAGUAUAAUAUGUUACACCUGAUAUGCAAACUGAUCACCUCAUUGCAGGAUUAAGGAGCAUAAUGUUAUAAUACUUGCUUUCAUUUCCUUUCUUUCUUCAUGAGCCAAAGAGUUUUCUGUUUGUGCGUUUAACAGUAUUUCUAAUCAUUCACUGCACUGUUUCAUUAGAAACUUUAGAAUAGAAGUUUGAGAUGGGCAGAUCUGCAUGUGUAAGCAGGUGCGUAUAUUUAAUGGGCGUUUUAACCCUCUUUGCAAGGAGUUAACAUGAAGACACUAUGGUCUAUCAGCUGAUUUUACUAGAUAGUCUAAUAACAAUCUGUCUUGGUUUCUAUGCUUAAUACUUAUCGUCCAUAUAUCUUAUUUGCAGUUAAUCUAAAGUCAUCUUGUGCAAGCGAUUUACUUACUCAGUUUUUAUUUUAGAGAUGUUAACGCAACUUCUGCUAACUUGCGAUCUACUAGAGUAUCGAUUACUAAAUUUGUUAACGCACUUUUGAACUCUGUUUCAUCAUGAUGCAGUUUCCUGGUACAAUCUCCAAUUUCUGUCACUUGCAUAUUUGAUAUUUCUUUUGUGAGAAGCUCGUCUUAAAACAUGUUUUACUGUGCCAUUUUCUGUACAUGUUGGUAGAAUGAUAGGGCAUUUAAAUGUUGGUCACUAGUCGAACAAUACCCUCAAUGGAUAGAAAUUGCAACUGCUAUUACUACUAUUGGAAAUCUAUAUGAAUUGUAUGUAAAAUUUCUAUCUUAACAUACUGGCAUAGCCAUGCACAGCAAGGACAAAUACGCUUUUGGGGAUCAUUACAUUCUUUGAUUGUUAGAAUAAGAAGAUGAUAACUUGCUAGGGAGAAAGUAACUAACCAUAAAUAAACCCUAUAUUAGCAGCUGAUUAGUGCUGUUUAAUCCAUAUUUGUAUUUAAACUUCUUCUUCCUUCUAUAUUUGCAGCUGAGAACUUGCGAAAAGUUGAUCAGUGUGUAUCAAGUCAGUGUGUAAGAUUCGAACAAAUACAAAAUUCCUGUCGGGUAUGCGCUUUUCCUUUUUUGAAAGGUUGGGGGGGUUCCUCCAACACUAUAUUGGUUGAGUAUUACACUAAUGGAUAUACUUUUCUUGUCUCUUUUGGGCAAGCCCUGAUAGUUGCAUGGUGGCUGGACGAAGCGCCAAAACCUACAACCAAGUCGCAAGUGCUAGUCAUUUUUCCAGUUUAAAAGGCAUUAUGGGACAAUUAAAUGAGAUAUAAUGCUUCAUCUAAAGACUGCUCUCUGUUUAAUUGUUAUUUGCGAUUUCUUUCACUUUUGAUUGUUGUUGCGAUCAGAUUUUCAUAACUGGGUCUUAUUACUAAGGAGAUUAUUUUCGCAAGCAGAUUUCCUGAGUCUUAGGUUCCCAGAAUGUUGGUGGUUCGGUGUUCAUCUUCUGUUGGCCACAACAAGGUACCAGUGUGCACCAAUCAUUUAGUCGUUUAUUUAAGCUUAUCUAACCAUAUACCAAGAGAGGAUAAUAUGUGAUUCUGAUCCAUGUUUAACAAUGAGGUAUUUUUGACUCAGAUGUUCAUCUGAGAGACGUUAAUCAAUCGGCUAAUAUAUAAACUUUUUACUUUUUUUCUCAAAGCAUAAUUAAAAACGAAUCUUCUUGUCCAGUUUAAAUGAAGUUUGAGCCUGUUUUUACUAAUUUAUGAACCUUGUGCACUGCAAGUCUUUAAAAAACUUUUUUUUGAAAGGUUUGAUUAACUGUUUUAUCUGAGAACGGCGUAAUCCAAAACAAAUCUUCUUUCUAGCUGAAAUGGAAUUCAAACCUUUCUAGCUGAAAUGGAAUUCAAACCUGCUUUUGCAAGCAUACAAAGAAAGAACUUUUGCAUUUAAGGAGAAAGUUGAACUUGUUCAUCUAAAAAUUUUAUCUCUGGUAUGAUUCCUUAACUGUAUAUAUAUAUAUUCCUGAACCUGUAUUAUACCACUGAGCUUGUACUAUAUUACUAGCUUAAAAAAAAAAAAAAUAGAGCUUCAUAUGUUGCAGUUGUUAUCUAUUUAAUUAAUUGGUCAUUUAUUGAAACAGGAUGACUCGGCCGAUUGCGCUAGAACAUAACGGAAGGCUUUUAGAUUUUGUCAUAAAGCUAGCUCUCAAACUCAUAAAGUAACUUAGGGGUGUGAAACAGCUAAACAGAGUAACCGGAUCUAAGGUCUAGGUCCGGUUUAGAUUUUCUUUAUCAUUUUGAGAAAAAAAAGCGGUUUGGUUUGGGUCAAUAUGGUAGGAACCGCAUAAUUUUGAUUCAGGUUUUGGUUCUGAUCAUGAGAAUCGGCUUAAACCAGACCAACCGGUUAGUGUUUCAUAUAUUUUAAACUGAACGGUUUGUUCUACUUAAUUAGCCCAUUACACGUAACGUUGGAAAGCUAACCUGCGCAUUAUUAAGUGAUGAAGCGCAGGAUAAGCAUGAAGGCAACGGACGAGGGCUAUAUAAUGGUUUCGCGGCCCUUCCGCACGCAAUUCCAAUACAAAUCGGGAACAGUCGCUCUUCUUCCUCUCUCCUCCUCCUUGAUCCCGCCUCGUCGACGACUCCGAAACCUACGAAGCCGAAGCGCGAACGACUCCGAAACCUACGAAGCCGAAGCGCUAUUCCAAUACAAAUCGGGAACAGUCGCUCUUCUUCCGCUCUCCUCCUUCUUGCUCCCGCCUCGUCGACGACUCCGAAAACUACGAAGCCGAAGCGCGAACGAAACCCUAAGGUACUAGCUCGAUUUCUCUUAAUCUUCGAAAGGAGCCUAUCUCUUUUCCGUCCUAAAAAUUUGAUCUCUCUUUUUCUCCCUCCAGUGUGAUGAAGGAUCGGAUCCCUCUUCCACUCCCUCCAUCGAAUCCUCAAUUUGAGCGGACAUUGAUCUCGAUCUCGAUCUCGAACUCUCUUGUCGAUUUGAGAUCGAAGGAUCCCUGAUCAAUUAAAGUCUAUGUACGUGAUCUAAAGGAAGCGAGAUGAUUCUUUGAGGUGAACUAUAUCGUUCAAUACUUGAUCUUGAUUCUGCUGCGUUUGAUUUUGUUGCUGCUUUUGUUCAUGAUUCAUGAACUUGCUGUUUGAAGGAAAAGAUUGAGGAAUUUGCGGAGUUUUGCACCUGGAGAAGAAUGAAUCUGAUUUGUUUUUUUUAAAUUUCGAAAUAACUUUCUAUAUUGCGCCUAAGUACGUUUUGAUCUAAAGAAAGCGAGAUGAUUCUUUGAGGUGAACAAUAUCGUUCAAUGCUUGAUCUUGAUUCUGCUGCGUUUGAUUUUGUUGCUGCUUUUAUUCAUGAUUCAUGAACCUGCUGUUUGAAGGAAAAGAUUGAGGAAUUUGCGGAGUUUUGCACCUGGAGAAGAAAGAAUCUGAUUUUUUAUAAAAAAUUUCGAAAAAACUUUCUAUAUUGCGCCUAAGUACGUUUUGAUCUAAAGAAAGUGAGAUGAUUCUUUGAGGUGAACUAUAUCGUUCAAUGCUUGAUCUUGAUUCUGUUGCGUUUGAUUUUGUUGCUGCUUUUAUUCAUGAUUCAUGAACUUGCUGUUUGAAGGAAAAGAUUGAGGAAUUUGCGGAGUUUUGCACCUGGUGAAGAAGGAAUCUGAUUUUUUUUUUUUAAUUUCGAAAUAACUUUCUAUAUUGCGCCUAAGUUUACUUUCUAGUACUAUUUCACAGUUCCAGCUGAAUUUACUUGCAGGUAGCUGAUUGAUAAACGAACGAGAAGAAGAAAAGGGUUUAGCUGGUAAAUCUGAUGCUUCAACUGAAGUACUAGAAAUAGGCUACUCUUUUCAUCUGAUGUGCUAUCGUGUUUGUGAAUUUCAGAAAAGCCAAUCAAAAAGUUUCUAGUUUCAAAUAGUUUAGACAGAGCUCUCUAGUCCAAAAUAUAUAUGAAUUUUGUGCAUGGUUCUAUCUUAAUAGGCACGCAGGACAAGGGGUUUAUGUAUUGUCUCCUUAGUGACUAACAAUUGGAAAUUUGUUAAAGGAUCUACCUAUAUAGGCUAUCUAACCUCAUCAUGAGUCUGAGGAAAAACAUCUUGCUUCUACUAUUUGAUUGGCUUUGUUGUGUUUAAUUACUCUGAAGAUUAUCUGAUUUAUGUGCUGCUUAUGUUGGUGCUAGCGUGGUGAUAGUGUUAUUAUAGGGAAAUAAAGUAUAUUCUUAUUACAGGGAAAUAAAGUAUAUUCUUCUUCCAGGCAUGCAAACUAUUGAACUUAUGAUGCUUCAUGAGUCUAUUGGAACACUGCUUCUCAACAUUAGAUUUUAAUAGAAUACAUAAACUUUAAUUCAAAAAAAAAAAAAGGAAUCAGAAUCCAUAACUUACAGGAGGCAUGUGGAUUCUACUUUUUCUUUGCAUUUGAAGUUAUUGGAUCAAAAUUGCCAAAUGUUACUAAAUUGUCUGAAUAUUAUUGAAAUUUCUCAUUCUGCUGUUCGCUUUUGAACUCUCCAGGCAUCCAAAUAUGGGACUCAAACUUCAAUCGGCUGGUUAGCUGUUUAAUUUAGAUUUGUAUUUCACUCAAGAUCUGAAUAUCCUGUUGGAUCUCAUGCAAAACUGUUGGAUUUUCUUUUUUUGUCUUAUGAACCAUUUUGAUGGAUUCUUUUCGCUUUUCUGUUUUUCUUUUCUUACUUUAGUUUACAGCUGGGAACUCUGCAAAAAGUUGAUGGGUCUCAAUAUGGUGUGAUAUAUUCGUUUAAAUAUGAAUUUCUUGUUUGGUUUCAUAAAGAAUAUUUUAUUGUUGCAAUGAUGGGUCUUCUUUUGGUUGCACCAUUACAUUGAAAAUGUAAUCGAAUGAAGUGGUAGCAUGCUACCAUUUUCUCAAAAAGGAAAAAGAAAAAGAAAAAUAAAAAGUACUUGGAAAAUGUUGAGUGUCAAAACCCUGCAGCUAGAUAGCAAGAACUGGUCCUAUUGCCAAUUUUUACAUUAUGUGAGAGGCGUAGCGAACAAUGUGAUGGGAAUGGAGUCAGCAAUGUCUAAUACAUAACAGGGCAAGGUACUUGAAGAUACAAUUAGAUUUUCUUUUUCUUUGCUUUCGCUAGAACAAAUUAUGUUGAUAGAUUUUCCAUGUAUUCUUCUUGCAUAUCAUUGCUUCUGCCUUAUCUUAUGUUUUUUCUGGUAAGAUGGGAUACAUUUCUGUCGUUCAAGCUUUUAUUAGGUGAUAAUGUAGUUCUUUCGUAGGCAAGCAACUCAAACAAUCAGUAGAGCAAGCCGUAUGAAUCUUAAACGUGAUGGGCAUAAUAAUGUAACAGAAAUAAAUGCUCUCGAAACUAGGUAGCAUUCAUCUGAAUUUCAUCAUUUUGUCUUUUAUUUAGUUUAUUGCUCCAAUUUAGAUAUUGAAAAUACUGUUUUAGUUGAAACUUGUUAAAAUAGACUCUGCACAAGAGAAGUUUGUUUUGUUUAUCUCUUUGUUAAAUAGGCCCCUAGAUUCUGUACAAUAUCUAAAUCUUUUAAACUACAUUCUCUCUUCUUUUUUCUUUCAAAACUUUGUACUUGGAUACUGCUUGGUAUUAUUUUUGUUGGAUUGAUAUCCAUGCGGCUGUUUCGAAUAUAUCAUGGUCUAGUCAUAGAGAUCCAAGCCAAAUUUUUACUUGACUCCUUAUUUAAUUUGAUUUUGUUGAGUUAAAGAAAUUAAUGACUCAAACAAUCUGAAUUAUAUAAUUGUCACAAAAGGCGACUAAGCUUCAUGUGUUUGAGAAUGUCGGCGCUCAUCUUCAAUUGGUUGCAACAACCUAUUAUGUAGAAAUAUGCUUUACUUCUUUCUCUCUUGCUCUGGUUCUUUAUUCGUCCAUAUAAGCUGAUCUAUACUUGCUUCUCAGCCUGCCUGCAAUCCUUCCUGGCCGGUGAAACUGUUGGACGAACAGGACUCAUCUUUCAUGCGGGCUCUCUUUCAUUGGGAAAGCAAUCUACGUAAGUCUUCUCACUUGGAAAACAGCUCAUGAUCAUUUGAUGAAAAUAGACAGGUUCAUAAAAAUAAGUAGGAAGGCUAUUCAGUGAGUUUAGAUGGAAGCAAGCAAAUAGCUGCCAAGGGAAUAAAGAACCAGAGCAAGAGAGUCAAGAUAUCUGAUAGCAGUAGAGAAGAACGUUGCUCUGAUUUAACAAUGAGGUAUGUUUUGAGUAAGAUAUUUUAUUCUCAUCUGUAGAGCUUUCAAUAAAAACUGUUUUUUUUUGCAGGCAUAAUUCAAAGCAAAUCUCCUUGUCCGGAGACAGGAGAGCUUGGUUUUGCUAAUUUACAAACUUUGUGCACCAUAAUUACAUGCAAAGGGGUAGUCUAAUUUGUUCAUGUAAGGAUUUUGCAAGAUACAGACAUCUCUAGUAUGAUUCCUGAACUCUAAUAUUUUUAUCAGAAAAAAAACUAAUUUUUAUCUGUCCUCACAUGUCUAUUGUUGGAGUAUCAUGGAAUUUUGUACCUAAAUUGGGACAAUUUCGUAAGUUUGUAUGGGAAUUGUCGAGUUUUUAUUUGCAUGGCAUUAUACAUGGAUGAUCUUAUAAAUGAUAAUUACCUUCGUCUAAUGCAAAUUAUAGCGUCUAAUUUAAUUAAAUUGAAAAAUCAAUUAGAAUGAGGAUUCAAAGUGUUGCAAAAUAGAUACAUGCAUCUCGAACCUUUGCAUUAAAAGAUAGCUAUGGAGAAAGGAGCACAGGGAGAUAAAUCUCCUUCUUGGACCUAAUAUUCAUUCACAAAAUUUGGGUACUGUAAUAUAUGACCAGUCACAUUUUCAGAUGACAACAUGGCAAUUGCAGCAGCAAGAUCUUCCAUGCUGACCUCUUGCUUUCAGGUGUCACUAAGUUUUGAUUUCAUCUGCAUAAUGAUAGAUGCCUUUUUAAUUGCUUGGAGGUUCCUUUCGACGAUCAACUUUAUUGCCUCUUUCUUUCUUUUCUUUCCCUUAUAGUUUUUGUUAUUAUGUGAAAGCAUCAACCUACUACGAAUACGACGUUAAAAUAGUUUGAUUAAAAAUUUACAUGGACCCUCUCAACUAUAGGCCAUUUUGAAAUUGAACCCUCAAUUAUUUUUCUUUUGAAUUUGGCUUCCUCGACUUUUGAUUUUUUUGAUUCAUGCUAUUUUCACUUGGAGAAUUUGGGGCUGUCAAACAGCUUUAAUUUUUAAUGAUUCUCCUCUUCUAAUGUAUGAAAAUAAUAAAAAAAAAAAAUUAAAGUUUGAGGGAAUAUCAAUCGGAAGAAAAACAGCUGAGGGGUCUAUUUCAAAAUAACCUAUAGUUUGAGCGGGGAUCCCUUUUAACUUUUUCCCAAAAGCUUUUCUGCUUUUAACAAUCCAUGUUUACUUCAUCUUUUAUUUCGGCACUCAUACGGCUGAGCUUUGCUUUAAAUAUUUUGAUAUUUGAAACAACUUGGCUAAUUGGUAUCUCAGGCUUCCUACUUACUGCUAAAUUUGCUUCAGUAUCCAGCAUCAUAUAUUUUACUCGAUGACGAUGAAAUAGUUUGUUGUAAUAUAUGUUGGUUUUGUGAUCCUCUAUUACUUUAAUGUAGUGCGUGUAUAACACAAAAGUUGUCUGACUUAAACUUCUUCGCUUUCAGUCAUUUCAUGUUAUUUCUUUCUUAACUUGCAAGUGUGCAUAAGAACUUACAGCUACUUGCUGGAUACAUGCCUGAAUUUUGUGAGAAAAUCAUUCUAAGCUGUGUUGGGAAUUUGACUAGGUUUACAGAGGAUUUUAUCCGUCCCUAUAUUAGGAAUGUGACUAGGUUUACGGAGUACUUUAUCCCUACCUAUGUGAAUUUCAGAUCUGGUGAUUUUUUUUCUUUUUUUUUUUGUUUCUCUCUCUCAACUUUAUUUAAUAAUUUGUUUUUUGUAGACUUUUGUAUUUUUGACUGCCAUGUAAGGUACCCCAGGGAUGGUUCUUAAAGAGAGAGAGAGAAAAAAAAAAGGGGAAAUUUCUUUGAUUUGUUACAUGAUAGCAGCAUCAUCUGAGUGAUUGGUAAGUAUCUUCUAUAUGAUAGGAGCAAAUUUCUCUUGCAGGUGCUUUAUCGGAAGUGCACUGCUUCAAUAAUGUCGGAUAUAACAAAGUAUGCCUCUAUAACAUUUCCUUCGCAUAUAUUCCCUUACAAACCGAAUUCAUUAAAUUAAUUAUCAUGCUAUGUAACUGCCACACAUAUUCUUGCUAUAUCAGCAAGGCAAAUUUUUCAGUAUCUGGGUUAUAGUUGAAAAAGAUGCUUGGAUUGUACGAGCAAGUUAUAGCCUUUUGUUUAGAAGCCCCCACAUAAACUGUUAAUGAGUAUGUAGUUGGAGUUCAGUUUUGUAAUGAAUAUUUAGCGACAAAGUAUUUGUUUCUUGCUAACUUUUUUUUUUUUAAACCAUACUCCAGGUUGAGACGAAUUGUGGAGUCCAAGGGUAAAUUUAAACUUGAGAGGAUAAUACCUUUGGAGCAGUCAUAAAACGGUUCAACAAUUAUUUACUCGUCAAAAAUGACGAAUAAUUCCGAGUAGAGCCUCGACUACGACUACCCAAUAUUUCUUGCUUUUGCAAAUGAAGAGCACCACUCUACCUUGAUGUUAGUGGCAUAAUGUAACUUUCUAAGUUGGUAAUCAUGCUUUUAAGUUAAAGCUUUGUAGAGAGAGUGAGAAUUGAUGCUUUUAUAAAAACGAAGAAUCUGACAUUCAUUAAAUGAAUAGAGGUACGCAAUGCAAAUCCAUGACCUUGCGCCUCAUUUCUUGUUUAAUUUUCAAGUGAAAUUCCUGUUUUUUUACUUGAAACAGGCAUAAUUCAAAACAAAUCUUCUUGUCCAGUUUGAAAUGAAAUUUGAGCCUGUUUUUACUAAUUUAUGAAAUUUGUGUACAACAAGUCUUUAAAAAACUUUUUUUUUUUUGAAAGGUUUCAUUAGCUGUUUUAUCUGAAAGCGGCAUAAUCCAAAACAAAUCUUCUUGUCCAGUUGAAAUGGAAUUCGAACCUGUUUUUGCAAGCAUUCAAAGAAAGAACUUUUGCAUUCAAGGAGAAAGUUGAACUUGUUCAUGCAAAGAUCUCUCGUAUGAUUCCUUAACUAUGUAUAUUUUUCUUCUUAAACUGUAUUAUGUCACUAAGCUGUAAUGUUAUUAGCUUAAAAAAACCAAAAAAAAUAGAGCUUCACAUGUUGCAUUUAUUAUCUCUUUACAUAAUUGGUCAUUUGAUGAUAACAGGUUGGACUCCGAUUGCGCUAGAACAUAACAGAAGGCUUUUAGAUUUGGUUAUAGAGCCAACUCUCAAACUCAUGGAGUAAGUUCGGGGUGUGAAACUGCUAAACAGAGUAACCAAAUCGAACCAAUGGUUGAGGUCUGGUUUACAUUUUUGUUAUCAUUUUGAGAAAAAAAAAAAACUGGUUGGGUUUUGGGUCAAUAUGGUAGGAUUAGGAACCGUGUUAUUUUGAUUCAGCUUUUGGUUCUGAUCUUGAUUCUGCUGUGUUUGAUUUUGUUACUGCUUUUAUUCAUGAUUCAUGAACUUCCCGUUUGAAGGAAAAAAUUGAGGAAUUUGCAGAGUUUUUGCAUCUGGAGAAGGAUUUAGGUGCUCUUAUUCCUACUGGCAUAUUUGAUCUGAUUUUUUAUUUUUUAAAAUUUUGAAACAGAUUUCUAUAUUGCUCCUAAUUUUACUUUAUAGUACUUUUUUACAGUUCUAGCUGUAUUUACCUGCAGGUAGCUGAUUGGUAAAUGAAUGAGAAGAAAAGGGUUUAGGUAAUAAAUCUGAUGCUUCAACCGAAGUACUAGAACUAGGUGACUCUUUUCAUCUGAUGUGCUAUUUGUGUUUGUGAAUUUCAGUAAAGCCAAUAAAAUAGUAUCCAGUUUCAAAUAGUUUAGAGAGAGCUCUCUAGUCCAAAAUCUAUAUGAAUUCUGUGCAUGAUUCUAUCUUAACGUCACUUGUAGCCACGCAGGACAAGGGGAAUUUUUGUAUUGUCUCCUUAGCGACCAACAAUUGGAAAUUAGUUCAAGGAUUUACCUGUAUGGGCUCUCUUAACCUCAUCAUGAGUCUGAGGCAAAACAUUUUGCUUCAACUAUUUGAUUGGCUUUGUUGUGUUUAAUUACUCUGAAGAUUAUCUGAUUUAUGUGCUUUUUAUGCUCGUGCUAGCGUGAUGAUAGUAGUAUUACAGGGAAAUAAAAUAUAUUCUCCUUCCAGGUGCUAUUGAGUUUAUGGUGCCUCAUGAGUCUAUUGAAAUGCUGCUUUCUCAGAUUAUAGUGGAAUAUUCUUCUUCCAGGUGUGCAAACAAAGUAAAUUCUUCUUCCAGCUGUGCAAAUUGUUUUGUUUAUGGUGCCUCAUGAGUCUAUUGAAAUGUUCUCAUCAUUCUCAGAUUUUAGUAGAAUACAUAAACUUUAAUUCAAAAAAAAAGGCGUAUGGAAUCGGAAUCCGUAACUUAAAGGAAGCAUGUGGUGCAAAGAAGUUAUUGGAUCAAAAUUGCCAAAUUUUACUAUAUUAUCUGAAUAUUAUCGAAUUUUUGCAUUCUGCUGUUGGCUUUUGAACUCUUCGGGCAUCCAAUUAUAUGGGACUCAUACUUCAAUCGGUUGGCUAGCUGUUUAAUCUAGAUUUCUAUUUCGCUUUUGAUGUGAUGGAUUUGUUCAAAAUCCGAAUUUCUUGUUGGAUUUUUCUCUUAUGAAUUGUUUUGAUGGAUUCUUUUCACUUUUCUGCUUUUCUUUUCUUAGUUUAGUUUAUAGCUCGGAAUUCUUUGAAAAGUUGAUGCGUCUAAUUUAAUAUGAUACACUCGUCAAAUAUGAACUUCUUAUUUGGUUCCAUAGGAAUAUUUUUUUGUUGCAAUGAUAGGUCUUCUAUUUUACUGCAGAGUAUUGUUGGAUUUUUGUCUUAUGAAUUGUUUUGAUGGAUUCUUUUCACUUUUCUGCUUUUCUUUUCUUAGUUUAGUUUAUAGCUCGGAUUUCCGCGAAAAGUUGAUGCGUCUAAUUUGAUAUGAUACACUCGUCAAAUAUUUGGAAAAUAUGAAGUGCCAAAAUCUUGCAGCGAACUGGUCCUUUUUCGCCAAUUUAAACUACAUUAUUAUGUGUGAGGCAUAGUGAACAAUGAGAUUGGAAAGGAGUCGGCAAUGUCUAAUACAUAACAGGGCAAGGUAGUUGAAGAUACAAUUAGGUUUUCUCUUUCUUUGCUUUCUCUAGAACAAAUUAUCUUGAUAGAUUUUCCAUGUAUUCUUCUUGCUAUCAUUGCUACUGCCUUAUCUUAUGCGUUUUCUGGCAAGGUGGGAUACAUUUCUUUCCUUAGAAGUUUUUAUUAGGUGAUAAUGUAGUUCUUUUAUAGUUGAUCAACUCACACAAUCAGUAGAGCAAGCCAUAUGAAGCUUAAACGAGAUGAGCAUAAUAAUGUAAGAAAAAUAAAUGCUCUAGAAACUAGUACGCAUUCAUCUGAAUUACAUCAUUUUGUCUUUUGUUUAGUUUAUUCUCGAAUUUAGGUGCUUGAAAAAAAUACUGUUUUGGUUGAAAGUUGUUAAAAUAGACUCUGCACAAGAGAAGUUUAACUGUAAGUCGGAGUUUUCCCACAGUUUUGUUUAUCUCUUUGUUAAAUUAGGCCUCUAGAUUCUGUACAAUAUUCCAAAUCUUUUAAACUAACAAUUUUUGUUGGAGAGAGAUCCAUGUGGCUGUUUCAAAUAUAUCAUGGUCUAGUCAUAGAGAUCGAAGACAAAAUUUACUUGACUCCUAAAUUUAAUUUGAUCUUGUUAAGUUAAAUAAAUGAAUAACUGAAACGAUCUGAAUUAUAUAAUUGUCAUAAAUGGCAGCUAAGCUUCAUGUAUUCUAGAAUGUCGGCACUCGUCUUCAAUUGGCUGCAGCAAGUUAUUAUGCAGCAAUGUGCUUUACUUUUUUCUCUCUUGUUCUUGGUCUUUCUUCGUCCAUAUAAGCUGAUCAGUUAUCAUAUACCAGGAGAGAAGAACGUCGCUCUGAUUUAACAAUGAGGUAUGUUUUGAGUCAGAUAUUUUAUUAUCAUCUAUAGAGCCUUCAAUAAAUAUGCUUUUUUUGCAGGCAUAAUUCAAAGCAAAUCUCCUUGUCCAGAGACAGGCGAGCUUGGUUUUGCUAAUUCACAAACUUUGUGCAACAUAACUUACAUGCAAAGAGGUAGUCUAAUUUGUUCAUGCAAGGAUUUUGCAAGAUACAACCAUCUCUGGUAUGAUUCCUAAACUGUAAUAUUUUUAUCUGAAAAAACUAAUUUUAUAUGUUGCUUUUAUUGUUUCUUUAUUAAUUUGUUAUGGUUAUUUGUAGAACAGGUUGGACCCUGAAAAUUCAAAAGGUGUACCUAGUCAGAAGGUAAAGUGUAUUGGGAAUCCCUUCAACAAUACACUAGCUUAAAUUGGCCACCUCCACUUAUUUUUAUUUUUUUUUUCAUUGAACCUCCUUAACUUUAAUUUUUUGAAAUUACAUGAUUUUAUUUAAUUAAAAUUAUGAAUUUUAUCAAAUUAAUUAUUUAUUUCAUCAAAUUUAAUGGUUUGAUUAAUUUUUAGCGAAUGAAGUAAAUAUUUCACGUUUAAUAUUUUAACGGAAUUAUUAAAUUUUUAAAAAAUAAACUAUCUAGAAUAACUUGAAUAAAAAAAUUAUAAGUUAUGGAGGUGUUUAUUUGUUAUGGCCCAUUGUUCUUUUUUGGUGGUGUUCGGCUCAUUAAUUUCGAACGUUAAGCUAUAUAGUACCGUCUUUACUUUUAAGCUAUUGCCACUUUAUCCAUUCCCAUCAGUUCUCUUCUAGUUCUUAUCAUAAAAUGCAAUAAAAAUUUUCGUUGAUGUCUGGAAAUACUAAAACUGCCCUUUUUCGAAAGGUAAAGGAAUGGGAUAAAACCAGGGAGUUUCUGUAUUAGUAUUUCAUUCAAAAUUUCAUUUUAUGUUCCAAAAGAUUGUUGAUAAGGAACUGACAUGAGGAGGUAUAGUAAUAAUGAUUUAAAACAAUCAAAGGGUAAUGUUUAGGUUUUUAAAGUUCAGCAUGGCAAAGUAAUAACGGCUAUUUAGUUCAGAAGAGUCUUCUGCAUUUUAGUUCUCCUUUUUUCUAAAAAAAAUUAAUUAGCUGUAUGUACUGGACGAGAAUUAAAGUCUGUCUUUUUGUUUUUAUUUGAGACUGAAAUUUCAUCCUCUUUUGAGUGCUGUUGCCUGGAGAUUUCUUAACUGCACCAUAUCACGUGGAGAUCAUUUUUGGCAUGAGAAGAUACAAAGAGGAAACCUCGCAUUUACGACUACGUAGGCACUCAUUUUCACUUGGCCACAGCAAGGUAUAAUGCAGCAAACACUCCUUUUUGCCCUUGGUCCUUAGUCACCUAUUUAAACUGAUCUAUUAUGAUAUGCUGGGAGAGAUCUGAUUAUGUUUAAAAAUGAUGUGUGUUUUGAAAUUUGAAUCAUAUGUUUGUCAACAGUCAGCUAACUGUUUAUUCUAAUCAAUAAAUCUUUUCAAUAAAUUGCAUUUUUUGUAAGCAUACUUCAAAUAGUUCUCCUUGUCCAACUUGAAGUAGAAUUCGGACCUAAUUUUUCCUAAUUUAAAAACUUUGUGUACCCUAAUUACGAGAAACCAAAGAACACACAUGCAAAGAGAUAGUGGAACUUGUUCAUGCAAGGAUCUUGCAAUACAAUAGAAAACCCAAGGAUAAUAGUUUAUAGUUCCUCAGCCAUCUCUAGUACGAUUCAUAAACUCUAAUAUAGUUGGUUGAAAAACUACAAUUUUAUAUGUUGUUUUUGUCUCUUUAAUUAAUUGGUUAUAUUGGACAGGUUGAACCCCGAUGGGUUCAAAGUUCAAACAGUCCGAUACAGGUGUUAGCCAAAUUGGAAGACCUCAAAGAGGAAACUUGUUACAAAUGGCCAUUGCACUGAAGCAGGAAUUUACGUCCAAUCACGGAUUUACCCAGCGGUGCGAAAUUCUUCGAAAAUCAGCUGUUGCACGUUCAUUGAAGAUAAAAAUGUAAAACACUCUUUUUUCAAGGUAUAGGUGUAUUUCUCCUAUUUGUUUCAUUUAAUAAAAAUGUGAGUUACAUGUACAAACAAGUACAAAAUACAAUAAGUGAUGGUAAGAUACAACUCCCAGUUAUGAUAACUUUAACUAACUACAUAGGUACACUAUGUGGACUUUUCUUCCCAUUUCAACAGUUCAUCAAUAAUUCCUAUUGAAAAUUCUAUCGUUCCAUUCCUUCCACAUGUUCCAGGAGAAGGUGGUGAACGUUGAGUUCAUCGUGCCUUGCAGGUCUACCAGAAUGCUUCCUCUCAACAUUCUCAUGUUUCAGUAAUUGUUUUUUCCGUUUUUAUUUUUCUUCCAUUUUAAGUGAAUGAUCUUUAGGGUUACAAAUUCAUCCCAGGUUAAUCAUACAUAAAAUUUAAUAAAAGAGUCAUUUCGGAGGAUUCUCACCAGUAACCUCGAAUGGAACCGGAAUCCUUUCUUGUAAAACCAAGCCUUCUGCUUUUGCUGAAUGAUCUUUUAUGAUGUCAGCUCCAGUGUGGCUUCUUCUUGCACUCAUAUUAAGUCAGCAAGGCAACAUAGAUAUGUUUUGCCAGUGGGUUUUAUUCUCUCUUUGCAUUUGAAGUUAUUUUGAACUGAAAUUGCCAAAUUUUAUUUAAUUACCCAAGUCAUAUUUGUGAUUCUGCCACUGGCGUGAACUCUUUUGUCAUCCAAUUAUGGGACUCAAGCUCCAAAUGGCUGGUUACUAUUUUGGUCUAGAUUUAUACUUUACUUUUGAAGUGAUGAAUUUGUUCAAAAUCUUAACUUCUUGUUGGAUUUCAUGUAAAACUUGGGUUUUUUUUUACUGAGCUAUUUUGAUGGACUUUUGGGUUUUUUUUUUCUUUGAGCUUUUUCUUCCUUUAACUUAUAGCUGAGAACUUUGAAGGUGGUUGGUCUCAAUUCGGUGAUACAUUCAAUUAAAUAAAAAAUUCUUGUUUGGUUUUGUGUAAAAUAUUUUAUUGUUGAAGUGAUGGUUCUUCCUUUUGGGUUUUUUUUUUGUCUUUAAGCUUUUUCUUCCUUUAACUUAGAGCUUAGAACUUUAAAAGAAGGUGGCUGGUCUCAAUUCGGUGAUACAUUCAAUUAAAUACAAAAUUCUUGUUUGGUUUUGUGUAAAAUAUUUUAUUGUUGAAGUGAUGGUUCUUCCUUUUUAUUGCAGAGUCGUAGCUAGUGGCACCGUUGCAUCAGCUGCAGGAGAGAAAAUGCGGAGGUUUUGGAAAAUGUAUUUGGAAAACGUGAAGUGCCAAACCCUGUAGCUAGAUAGCAAGAACAAGUCACGAGGCUUGCCAAUAGAAUUUUUAAAACCGAGAUUCAAGAAAAUUAGUACCCUCCAUCUGUACUUCAGGUAAAUUCAUUAGUAAGUUCCUCAGAUUUCCUUACUAUUUUUGAAGAUUUGCAUCCUGCUGAACAUCACCGGAAUACAAAAUAAAAUCAUAAAAAUGAAUUUGUGUGAAAUUUUUAGAUAUCAUUUUGGUCACGUCUCCUGGAUUUUUCAUUCUGUGUUUGCAACAGUUAUCAUAGUAUCUUUUUUCAGUUAUCAUCAGUUAUCGUAGUACCAGUUAACUGUUCAUAUUUGCACACGAUUUAGUGUACACAUAGGAACCCGUAAUCAAAAUUUGAUGGGAUAUCUUCGCUUCAGAACAAAACAAUUAGAAUGAGGCUAGAUAAUAAUCUUAGAAAUGACUUCAGAAUAUCUUCCCUUGAUCUUGUAUUCUUAGAAUUAGUUUUACUGUCACCUAAAGAGGUAAUAAAAAUGAAGUUUGGUGUGUGAAAUGCAUGCAAAAUAGUAUAAUUGUAGUUUGCAGUGCUGGUAUUGUGCAAGGUACUAUUAGGGAUUAGAACACCUGAACAUUUAUCUGACAGAAAUCAUUAUUAAUGUUUUUAUUAUUUGAUUCCUUGUGACAUGAAGAUUGUUCAUCAACCAUCAUGCUCUUGCUAGCGUACUGUAUAAACUCACUAGUCUGAGAGCAACUUUAUUAUGUAAUAAUUUGUUACAUGACAAAAUAUUUGCCAUCAUGUUUCAGUUUUCUGAUCUCUUGAUGUUUAGAUAUAUUCAGCAGCCUAAGCGGACCAUUGGAUCAAUCUUUUACAUCUCCGAGAAUUGAUUUAAUCUUUAUUCCAAAUCUACUCAUUGUCAGAAAGUUCAGCAUCAUAAAUAGGGAUGAGGUGUACAACCAUCUCUCUACCUCCUAAUUUAGAGAAUUCACUCAAUGUAUGCUUCCUUCAAAAUGAUCUAGAUUUUGAAUCUUACAUUAAAUAAUAUUUCCUUCUGCAUGCCUAUCAAAAUCAUUUAAUCUCAGUACAUGUGGUCUUCAGCAUGCUAUAAGAUUUGCUGUAUCACUCUUUCUUGAACUACUCUCAAACAUGAAUGCAUGAUACAGUUUCUUGCUUUUUCCUAAAUGAAAUUCUCAGUUAAUAGACUGCCAAUUUGUAAUCUUUUGGCUUUUUUCAUUUGCUGAGAAUUGAUUUCUGAAAGCCACUAAAUAAAAGGCAUAAGAUGUUUCUUAUUACUUAUCUGGAUAUCGCUGCUUAAUUUCUAUGUGAUUACUAGAGCAAGCUCAGUGAAGAUUUCUUGGUGGGCUGCUUAAUUAGCUGUGAGUGUUAGCUCCAAUACUCACAUUCUACAAGGGAAAUCUGCCCCCACAUGUCCAUUGUGGAGUAUCAUGGAAUUUUGUACCUAAAUUGGGACAAUUUCGUAAGUUUCUAUGGUGGGUGAUAUACAUGUCUAUGGGAAAUGUCGAGUUUUUAUUUGCAUGGCAUUGUACAUGGAUGAUCUUAUAAAUGAUAAUUACCUUAGUCUGAUGCAAAUUAUAGUGUCUAAUUUAAUUAAAUUGAAAAAUCGAUUAGAAUGAGGAUUCAAAAUGCUGUAAAAAAGAUACAUGCAUCUUGAACCUUCGCAUUAAAAGAUCUUCCAUGCUGACCUCUUGCUUUCAGGUGUCACUAAGUUGGCUGCAUAAUGGUAGAUGCCUUUUUAAUUGCUGUGGAGGUUCCUUUCGACGAUCAACUUUAUUGCCUCUUUCUUUCUUUUCUUUCCCUUAUAGUUUUUGUCAUUAUGUGGAAGCAUCAACCUACUGCGAAUACUACGUUAAAAUAAUUUGGAUUAAAAAUUUACUACAUAGAUUCUCUCAACUAUAGGCCAUUUUGAAAUUGAAACCUCAAUUAUUUUUCUUUUGAUUUUGGCUUCCUCGACUUUUGAUUAUUUUGAUUCAUGUUAUUUUCACUUGGAGAAUUUGGGGCUGUCAAACAGCUUUAAUUUUUAAUGAUUCUCCUCUUCUAAUGUAUGAAAAUAAUUAAAAAGAAAUUAAAAUUUUGAGGGAAUAUCAAUCGGAAGAAAAACAGCUGAGGGGUCUAUUUCAAAAUAACCUACAGUUUGAGGGGGAUCUCCAUAAAUUUUCCCAAUAGGUUUUCUGCUUUUAACAAUCCAUGCUUACUUCAUCUUUUAUUCUAGCACUCGUAUGGCUGAGCUUUGCUUUAAAUAUUUUGAUAUUUGAAACAACUUGGCUAAUUGGUAUCUCAGUCUUUCAAGUUUCAACUUACUAUUAAAUUUGCUUCAGUAUCCAGCAUCAUAUAUUUUACUUGAUGACAAUGAAACAGUUUGUUGUAAUAUAUGUUGAUUUUGUUAUCCUCUAUUACUUUAAUGUAGUGCGUGUAUAACACAAUAGUUGUCUGAUUUAUACUUCUUCGCUUUCAGUCAUUUCAUGGUAUUUCUUCUUAACUGCAAGCGUGCAUAACAACUUAACACUACUUGCUGGAUAGAUACCUGAAAUUUGUGAGAAAAUCAUUGCAAUCUGUGUUGGGAAUUUGACUAGGUUUACAAAGGAUUUCAUCCAUUCCUAUGUUAGGAGCGUGGCUAGGUUUACAGAGUAUUUUUAUGUGAAUUUCGAUCUGGUGAUUCUUUUCUUCUCUCUUUUUUUUUUUUUGUUUUUCUCUCUCAACUUUAUUUAAUAAUUUGUUUUUAGUAGACUUUUGUAUUUUUGACUGUCAUGUAAGGUAGCCAGGGGAUGGUUCUUAAAGAGAGAUUAAAAAAGGGUAAGUUCUUUGAUUUGUUACAUGGUAGCAGAAUCUGAGUAUUUUGGUAAGUAUCUUCUGUAUGAUAGGAACAAAUUUCUCUUGCAGGUGCUUUAUCGAAAGUGCACUGCUUCAAUCUCGUCAGAUAAGACAAAGUAUGCCUCUAUAACUUUUCCUGUGCAUAUAUUCCUUUACAAACUGAAUUCAUAAAUUAAUACAUAACUGCCAUAUUUUCUUGCUAUAUCAGCCAAAAUUUUCAGUAUCUGGGUUAUAGUUGAAAAAGAAGCUUGAAUUGCAUGAGCAAGUUAUAGCCUUUUGUUUAGAAGCCCCCACAUAAACUGUUAACGAGUAAGUAGUUGGAGUUCAUUUUUGUAAUGAAUAUUUAGCAACAAAGUAUUUGUUUCUUGCUAAAUUUUUUUAAUUUUUUUUAAAAAAAAAAAAACUAUACUCCAGGCAAGAGACGAAUUGUGGAGUGGUAAGUUUAAACUGAGAGGAUAAUAUCUUUGGAGCAGUCAUAAAACGGCUCAACGAUGAUUUAUUCGUCAAGCAUGACAAGUAGUUCCGACUAGAGCCUCGAUUACGACUACCCAAUAUUUCUUGCUUUUGCAAAUGAAGAGCACCACUCUACCUUGAUGUUAGUGGCAUAAUGUGACUUUCUAAGUUGGUAAUCAUGCUUUCAAGUUAAUGCUUUGUAGAGAGAGUGAGAAUUGAAGCUUUUAUAAAAACAAAGAAUCUGUCAUUCAUUAAAUGUAUAGAGGUACGCAGUGCAAAUCCAUGACCUUGUGCCUGAUUUCUUGUUUUUUUUUUACGGAAAUUCCUUUUUUUUCCUUGCACCUGAUUUCUUUUUUUUUUAGGGAGAUUCCUUUUUUUUUUCUUGAAACAAGCAAAACUCAAAACAAAUCUUGUCCAGUUUGAAAUGAAGUUUGAGCCUGUUUUUACUAAUUUAUGAAACUUGUGCACGACAAGUCAUCACUGUUUAAAAAAGCGCGCCUAGGCGCAGCGCCUAGGCGCCUAGGCUCUAGGCGCACAGGCCAGCGCCUAGAGUAGCUCUAGGCGGGCGCCAUGAUUCAGGCGCGCGCCUAGGCAGCCUAGGCGCGCGCCUGGGCCUAGGCGCAAGGCGCUCUCAAGGCGCGCCUAGGUAAUAUUUAUAGUAACGGGUUUGGAUCCAGAUUUUAUUGGUCUAACGGGUUGAAAUAUCUAAAAUAAACCCAAUACCCUAAACUAAACCCUAAAUAAUCAUCAAUUAUUUCCCUAUUCCUUUCUCCCUGUCCGCUCUUCCCUCUCCCUCUCCGCUCGGCCCCUCUCCCUCUCCGCUCGCCCGCUCGGCCAUCUCUCUCUCUCCGGCGCUCCCUCUCCGGUUGUCCUUGCUUCCGGCACCUCCUCCUUGCUUCUUCAACUCGCUCGCCUCUUCUUCUAAGGUUUUUUGUCUCUUCCUUGGCCUCUCUCUAGUUUCUCUUUUAGUUUUUUGUGUAUAUUUCUAUUUUUUUUUUUAAAGCAGUGCUUUCUAUGCUUUUUUUUUAAGUAGAAAUUUUCUGUUUUAUUUUUUAAAAAAACAGCAUUUUACUUGAAAAUAAAACAGCAUUUUAACAUUUUAAAAAACAGCAUUUUACUUGAAAAAACAGCAUUUUACUUGAUAAGAUGAACUUUUUUUAAAGUAAAAAAAGUCCUUGAAAAUAAAAAAUGAUCAUACAUAUUUGCUAAAUUGCAGUUUAGUAUUUUUGAAUGGAUUCGAAAGCAACCGAAAGAGAUCCUGCAUGGAAGUAUGUAUCUUUAUCUUUCACAUGAUCAUGAUGCUUUUUUAAUGUUUUUGGCUUGAAACUUUAAACUUUUUAACUUUUAAGCAUAUUACUUUUUUAUGAUCUUGUGCUUAUGAUUAUAUGCUUUUCACAUCUAACUUUUCUAUAUGUUUGUGAAUUAAUACUUACAUUUAUGCUGUCCUUUAUUUUGAGAUAAAAAGGUAAUUUACACUUAGUAUAUGAUUUUAUAUAGUAUAUUUAAUGCUGCUUAACAAUUAGUAGAAAGAAUGGUAAGAAACUUCUUGAUUAUUUACUUAUUUCAAAAUUUUAUGAAAGUGUGCGCCUGACCUCUCUCGGGCGCGCGCCUGCGCCUUGCGCCUUGCGCCUAGGCUCCAACAGGCCUUUGCGCCUAGGUGCGCCUUGGGCUUUUUUAAACACUGCAAGUCAUUAAAAAACUAUUUUUUUUUCUUUUUCUUCUUUUUUUUUGGAAAGGUUUGAUUAAUUGUUUUAUCUGAAAGUGGCAUAAUCCAAAACAAAUCUUCUUGUCCAGUUGAAUUGGAAUUCAAACCUGUUUUUGCAAGCAUUCAAAGAAAGAACUUUUGCAUUCAAGGGGAAAGUUGAACUUGUUCAUGCAAAGAUCUCUCCUAUGAUUCCUUAACUGUGUAUAUUUUUCUUCUUAAACUGUAUUAUGUCACUAAGCUGUAAUGUUACUAGCUUAAAAAAACCAAAAAAAAUAGAGCUUCAUAUGUUGCAUUUAUUAUCUCUUUACAUAAUUGGUCAUUUGAUGGUAACAGGUCGGACUCCGAUUGCGCUAUAACAUAAUGGAAGGCUUUUAGAUUUGGUCAUAGAGCCAGCUCUCAAACUCAUGGAGUAAGUUAGGGGUGUGAAACUGCUAAACAGAGUAACUAAAUUGAACCAAUGGUUUAGGUCUGGUUUAGAUUUUCUUUAUCAUUUUGAGGAAAAAAAAAAACUGGUUGGGUUUUGGGUCAAUAUGGUAGGAACUAGGAACUGCAUUAUUUUGAUUAGCUUUCAGUACUGAUCAUGAGAAAUGGCUUAAAACAAACCAGCCGGUUAGUAUGUCAUAUUUUUAAACCAAACCGGCCUUAGUCCCUGUGGUUUGAUCUUAGCUCAUUGUACUUGACAUUGGAAGGUUAACGUGCGCAUUACCACGUGAUGAAGCGCAGGAUAGCAUGAAGGCAAUGGACGAGGGCUACAUAAUUGUUUCGCCCUCCAUGCGCCAUUCCGAUCUAAAUCGGGACCAAUUGCUCUUCUCCUUCUCUCCUCCUCUCUUCCACUUGUCGGUGACUCCAAAACCAACGGAGUCGAAGUGCAAACUAAACCCUAAGGUACUAACUCGAAUGCUCCUAAUCUUCGAAGGAUCAAAUAAAUCCCUUUUCCAUUGUAAGAAUUUGAUCUCUCUAUCUCUCCCUCCAAUGUGAUGAAGGAUCAGAUACCUCUUCCAUUCCCUCCAUCGAAUCCUCGAUUUGAAGCCAAGACUGAUCUCGAUCUUGACCUCUCUUGUCGAUUUGAGAUCACAGGAUCCCUGAUCUAUUAAAAAGUCCGAGUACGUUUUGAUCUAAAGAAAGCGAGAUGAUUCUUUGACGCGAACUAUAUAUCUUGCAAUGCUUGAUCGUGAUUCUGCUGUGUUUGAUUUUGUUCCUGCUUUUAUUCAUGAUUCAUGAACUUUCUGUUUGAAGGAAAAGAUUGAGGAAUUUGCCGAGUUUUUGCAUCUGGAGAAGAAGGAUUUAGGUGCUCUUAUUCCAACUAACGUAUCUGAUCUGAUUUUUUUUUUAAAAAAAUUGAAACAACUUUCUAUAAUGCUCGUAAUUUUUCUUUCUAGUACUUCUUUACAGUUCUAGCUGAAUUUACCUGCAGGUAGCUAAUUGAUAAAUGAACGAGAAGAAAAGGGUUUAGGUGUAAUCGAAGUUCUAGAACUAGGUGAUCUUUUCAUCUGAUGUGCUAUUUGUGUUUGUGAAUUUCAGGAAAGCCAAUUAAAAAGUUUCCAGUUUCAAAUAGUUUAGAGAGAGCUCUCUAGUCCAAACUCUAUAUGAAUUCUGUGAAUGAUUCUAUCUUAACAUCACUUGUAGCCACGCAGGACAAGGGGAAUUUAUGUAUUGUCCCCUUAGUGACCAACAAUUGGAAAUUUGUUUAAUGAUUUACCUGUAUGGGUUCUCUAAUCUCAUCAUGAGUUUGAGGCAAAACAUUUUGCUUCUACUAGUUGAUUGGCUUUGUUGUGUUUAAUUACUCUGAAGAUUAUUUGAUUUAUGUGCUUCUUAUGCUGGUGCUAGCGUGAUGAUAGUGUUAUUACAGGGAAGUAAAAUAUAUUCUCCGUCCAGGUGCACAAAUUAUUGAGUUUAUGGUGCCUCGUGAGUCUAUUGGAAUGCUGCUUCUCAACAUUCUCAGAUUUUAGUGGAAUAUUCUUCUUCCAGGUGUGCAAAUAAAGUAAAUUCUUCUUCCAGCUGUGCAAAUUAUUGAGUUUGAGUUUAUAGUGCCUCGUUAGUCUAUUGAAAUGCUGCUUCUCAACAUUCUUAGAUUUUGUAGAAUACAUAAACUUUAAUUCAAAAAAAAAGAGUAUGGAAUCAGAAUCCGUAACUUUCUUUACAUUUGAAGUUAUUGGAUCAAAAUUGCCAAAUAUUAUAACUUAUCUGAAUAUCAUCGAAUAUUUGCAUUCUGCUGUUAGUUUUUGAACUCUUCAGGCAUCCAAUUGUGGGACUCAAACUUCAAUUGGUUGUCUAGCUGUUUAAUCUAGAUUUGUAUUUCGCUUUUGAUGUGAUGGAUUUGUUCAAAAUCCAAAUAUCUUGUUGGAUUUCAUACAAAACUGUUGGAUUUUUUUUGUCUUAUGAAUUGUUUUGAUUGAUUCUUUUUGCUUUUCUGUUUUUCUUUUCUUACUUUAGUUUAUAGCUGGGAACUUCUUAUUUGGUUCCAUAGAGAAUAUUUUAUUGUUGCAAUGAUAGGUCUUCUAUUUCACUGCAUAGUCUUGAUGGUUGCACCAUUGCAUUGAAAUUGUAUUUGGAAAAUGCUAAUUAAAUGAAGUGGUAGCAGCCUACCAUUUUCUCAAAAAAAAGAAAGGAAAGAAAAUGUAUUUGGAAAAUGUGAAGUGCCAAAACCUUGCAGCGAGAUAGCAAAAACUGGUCCUUUUGCCCAUUUAAACUACAUUAUUAUGUGUGAAGCAUAGUGAACAAUGAGAUUGGAAAGGAGUCAGCAACGUCUAAUACAUAACAGGGCAAGGUAGUUGAAGAUACGAUUAAAUUUUCUCUCUCUUUGCUUUCUCCAGAACAAAUUAUCUUGAUAGAUUUUCCAUGUAUUCUUCUUGCUAUCAUUGCGACUCCCUUAUCUUAUGUGUUUUCUGGCAAGGUGGGAUACAUUUCUUUCCUUAAAGUUUUUAUUACGUGAUAAUGUAGUUCUUUUAUAGUUGAUCAACUCACACAAUCAGUAGAGCAAGCCAUAUGAAUCUUAAACGAGAUGAGCAUAAUAAUGUAAGAGACAUAAAUGCUCUAGAAACUAGUAAGCAUUCAUCUGAAUUACAUCAUUUUGUCUUUUGUUUAGUUUAUUCUCGAAUUUAGGUGCUUGAAAAAAAUACUGUUUUGGUUGAAAGUUGUUAAAAUAGACUCUGCACAAGAGAAGUUUAACUGUAAGUCGGAGUUUUCCCACAAUUUUGUUUAUCUCUUUGUUAAAUUAGGCCCGUAGAUUCUGUACAAUAUUCCAAAUCUUUUAAACUAACAAUUUUUGUUAGAGGGAGAUCCAUGUGGCUAUUUCAAAUAUAUCAUGGUCUGGUCAUAGAGAUCGAAGACAAAAAUUUACUUGACUCCUAAAUUUAAUUUGAUCUUGUUUAGUUAAAUAAAUGAAUAACUGAAACGAUCUGAAUUAUAUAAUUGUCAUAAAUGGCAACUAAGCUUCAUGUAUUCUAGAAUGUCGGCACUCGUCUUCAAUUGGCUGCAGCAAGUUAUUAUGCAACAAUAUGCUUUACUUUUUUCUCUCUUGCUCUGGGUCUUUAUUCGUCCAUAUAAGCUGAUUUGUUAUCAUAUACCAGGAGAGAAGAACAUCGCUCUGAUUUAACAAUGAGGUAUGUUUUGAGUCAGAUAUUUUAUUAUCAUAUGUAGAGCCUUCAAUAAAUACUACUUUUUUGCAGGCAUGAUUCAAAGCAAAUCUCCUUGUCCAGAGACAGGCGAGCUUGGUUUUGCUAAUUUACAAACUUUGUGGACCAUAACUUACAUGCAAAGAGGUAGUCUAAUUUGUUCAUGCAAGGAUUUUGCAAGAUACAGCCAUCUCCUGUAUGAUUCCUAAACUGUAAUACUUUUAUCUGAAAAAACUAAUUUUUAUAUGUUGCUUUUAUUGUUUCUUUAUUAAUUCGUUAUGGUUAUUUGUAGGACAGGUUGGACCCUAACAAUUCAAAUGGUGUACCUAGUUAGAGGGUAAAGGUGUAUUGGGAAUCCCUUCAACAAUACGCUAGUUUAAAAUGGCCACCUCCGCUCAUUUUUAUUUUUUUUCCCUUGCACCUCCUUAACUUUAAUUUUUUGAAAUUACAUGAUUUUAUUUAAUUAAAAUUAUAAAUUAUAUCAAAUUUAAUGCUUUGAUUAAUUUUUAGCGAAUAAAGUAAACAUUUAAUGUCUAAUAUUUUAACAGAAUUAUUAAAAUUUUAAAAAAUAAACUAUCUAGAGUUAACUCGAAUAAAAAAAUUAUAAGUUAUGGAGGUGUUUAUAAGUUAGGGCCCAUUAUUCUUUUAUGGUGGCGUUCGGCUCAUUAAUUUCGACUUUUAAGCUAUAUAGUACCCUCUCAACUUUUAAGCUAUUGCCAUUGUAUCCCUUCGCAUCAUUUCUCUGUUAGAUAUUAUUAUAAAAUACAAUACUAAUAUAUGUUGAUUUAUGAAAAUACUAAAAUUGCCCUUUUUGGAAAUGUAACGGAAUGGGGUACAGCCAGGGUAUUUUCUGUAUUAAUAUUUCAUUCAACAUUUCAUUUUGUGUUCCGAAAGAUAGUUGAUAGGGAACUGACAUGGUUUCAGUUUUUAAAGUUCAGCAUGGCAAAGUAAUAAUGGUUAUAUAGUUAAGAAGAGUUUUCUGCAUUUUAAUUCUUCGUUUUCUUUUUUUAAUUAGCGAUACCAACUAGACGAGAAUUGAAGUCUGUUUUUUUUGUUUUAUUUGAGACUGAAAUUUCAUCCUUUUUUGAGUGUCGUUGCUUGAAGAUUUCUUAACUCCACCAUAUCACGUGGAGAUCAUUUUUGGCAUGAGAGAGUACAAAGAGGAAACCUCGCAACAACAACUACUAAGGCACUCCAUUUUCACGUGGCCACAACAAGGUAUAAUGCAUCAAACACUCCUUGUUGCCCUUAGUCCUUAGUCACCUAUUUAAACUGAUCUAUUAUGAUAUGCCAGGAGGGGUCUGAUUAUGUUUAAAAAUGAGGGUAAGUUUUGAACUUUGGAUCAUAUGUUUGUCAACAGUCGGCUAACUGUUUAUCCUAAUCAUUAAAUCUUUUCAAUAAAUUCCAUUUUUUGUAGGCAUACUUCAAACAGAUCUCCUUGUUCAACUUGACGUAGAAUUUGGACUUAAUUUUUCCUAAUUUAAAAACUUUGUGCACCUUAAUUACAAGAAACCAAAGAAUGCAUUUACAUGCAAAGAGGUAGUGGAACAUGUUCAUGCAAGGAUCUUGCAAUACAACAGAAAACCCAAGGAUCUUGCAAGCCGUCUGCUCUUGCUGAAUAAUCUUUUAUGAUGUCAUCAAGACAACAUAGGUAUAUCUGCCAGUGGGUUUUAUGUUCUCUUUGCAUUUGAAGUUAUUUUGGGCUGAAAUUGCCAAAUUUUUUAUUUAAUUAUCCACAUCAAAUUUUUGCAUUCUGCCAUUGGUUUGAACUCUUCUGGCAUCCAAUUAUGGGACUCGAGCUCCAAUUGGCUAUUUACCGUUUUGGUCUAGAUUUAUAUUUUACUUUUGAAGCGAUGAAUUUGUUCAAAACCUGAACUUCCUUGUUGGAUUUCAUGUAAAACUUGAUUUUUUUUUCUUAUGAACUAUUUUGAUGGACUUUUGGGUUCUUAUUUUUCUGUGUUUUUACAGCUGAGAACUUUGAGAGGUGGUGGUUGAUCUCAAUUCAGAGAUGUAUUAAAUUAAAUACAAAAUUAUUGUUUGGUUUCAUGUAAAAUAUUUUAUUGUUGAAAUGAUAGUUCUUCCUUUUAAUUGCAGAGUCGUUGAUGGUGGCACCAUUGCCCCAAGCUUUAGGGGAGAAAAUGUGGAGGUUUUUAAAAAUGUAAUUUGAAAACGUGAAGCGCCAAACCCUAUAGCUAGAUAGCAUGAACAGAUUAUCUUUCCAGUUUUAACAAAUCACGAGACUUGCAAAUUGAAUUUUCGAAAGUGAGGUUCCAAAAAAUUUAGUACCCUCCAUCUGUACUCCAGGUAAGUUCAUUAGUAAGUUCCUCAGAUUUCUCUAUUAUAUUUGAAGAUUUCGUAUUCUGCUGAACGUCACCAGAAUACAAAAAUAAAAUCAUAAAAAUGAUUUUGUGUGAAAUUUUUAGAUAUCAUUUUGAUCACGUCUCAUGGAUAUAUGUCAUUGCAGUUGCAUCAGUUAUCAUCGCAUAUUUUUUCAGUUUUAAUAAUGCUUGACUGUGGUAUCCUCAUGUUUCUGAAUUCUGAUAGGAUCUUCUUGACAUUUGAUGAAAACAUGGCUAGAAUUUCACAAAAGGACUUGCCACUUUAUUUUUGUCAUUAUCCUAUUAUGAUGCCGUAGACCAAAAUUCCCAGUUAACUGUUCAUACUUGCACACGAAUUAAUAUACACAUAAGAAACCCUAUUCAAAAUCACUGAUUGGACAUCUUUGCUUUGGAACAAAACAAUUAGAAUGAGGCUAGAUAAUAUUAGAAAUGACAUCAGAAUAUUUUCCCUUGAGUUUGUAUUCUUGGAAUUAGCUUACUAUGUGUCCUACAUAGGUAAUAAUAAAAUGAAGUUUGGUGUUUGAAAUGCAUGCGAAAUAGUAUAAUUUUAAGUUUGCAGUGCUUGAUAUUUGGGCAAGGUACUAAUAGGGAUUAGAACACAUGAGAAUUUUAUCACAGAAAUCAUUAAUAACAUUUUUAUUAUUUGAUCCCUUCUGACAUGUGGAUUGGUCAUCAACCAUCAUGCUCAUGUUAGUGUACUUUAUAAACUCACAAGUCAGAGAGCAACUUUAUUAUGUAAUAGUUUGUUGCGUGACAAAGUAUUUGCCAACCAUCAUGUUUCAGUUUUCUGAUCUUUUGAUGUGUUUAUAUAUCAGCCUAAGUGGAACAUUGGUUCAAUCUUUUACAUCUCAGAGAAUUGAUUUAAUCUUUAUUCUAAAUCAUUUGUCUGCUCUGUUCCUUUUCGGUCAGUUCAGCAUAUCAUAAAUAGGGUAUGAGGUGUACAAUCAUCUCUCUACUUCCUAAUUUAGAGGGUUUACUCCAUGUAUGCUUCCUUCAGAAUGAUCUAGAUUUUGAAUCUUACAUCAAAUAAUAUUUCCUUCUGUGUGAGCCUAUCAAAAUCAUUUAAUCUCAGUACAUCUGGUCUUGAGCAUGCUAUAAGAUUUGUUGUAUCACUAUUUCUUGAACUACUCUCAAAGAUGAAUUCAUGAUAUCUUGCUUUUCCCUCGAUGAAAUUCUCAAUUAAUAGACUACCAACUUGUAAUCUUUUGGCUUUUUUCAUUUGCUGAGAAUUGAUUUCUGAAAGCCACUAAAUAAAAGUUAAGGCAUAAGUAAGGCAUAAGUUGUUUUUUAUUACUUAUCUUGAUAUCUCUGCUUAAUUUCUAUGCAAUUACUAGAGCAAGCUUAGUACAGAUUUCUUUCUGGGCUGCUUAAUUAGCUGUGAGUGUUAGCUAAAAUACUCACAUUCUACAAGGGAAAUGUUAAAAUCGGAACGGCGAAAAAUAGAUCCAGAAAAUAAUUUAAUGCAAGAAAAGAAAAGAUAAGGAAAGAACACACCGAUAUUUACGUGGUUCGGCCAACGGCUUACGUCCACGGGCGAAGACGGAGCAAAUAAUUUAUUAAUGUCGAAAAGGCGGAGUACAAAUAAGAUCUCUCAAAAGAACCCGAAAUUUAAUUAGAUCCGAAACGCCGCAACAAGAA
rnacentral:lncRNA from 1 species